rnacentral:rRNA from 1 species
AGUGAACGCUGGCGGUAGGCCUAACACAUGCAAGUCGAACGGCAGCACAGUAAGAGCUUGCUCUUACGGGUGGCGAGUGGCGGACGGGUGAGGAAUACAUCGGAAUCUACUUUUUCGUGGGGGAUAACGUAGGGAAACUUACGCUAAUACCGCAUACGACCUACGGGUGAAAGCAGGGGAUCUUCGGACCUUGCGCGAUUGAAUGAGCCGAUGUCGGAUUAGCUAGUUGGCGGGGUAAAGGCCCACCAAGGCGACGAUCCGUAGCUGGUCUGAGAGGAUGAUCACCCACACUGGAACUGAGACACGGUCAGACUCCUACGGGAGGCAGCAGUGGGGAAUAUUGGACAAUGGGCGCAAGCCUGAUCCAGCCAUACCGCGUGGGUGAAGAAGGCCUUCGGGUUGUAAAGCCCUUUUGUUGGGAAAGAAAAGCAGCAGGUUAAUACCCCGCUGUUCUGACGGUACCCAAAGAAUAAGCACCGGCUAACUUCGUG